AAACUAACAGAACAGACUUUGAGAAGGCCUAGAGAGACCCUACAACCUAGAAAGGCCAAGCCAACAACCUAAAGACACCAAGAGUAAUAGGAAAAUUGGUGUGACUACCACAAAAAUUAAUGAGCUCUGCAACCAAACCACACCCCAAUCAAUGACCCACCCUGUUGGUGCAAGCUCAUCAAAUCUUGGCAGAGAUUCUACUACAGAGAUACCACUUCUUGAACAAGCGAAGCAAGCUGUGUACACCACAAAGGAACAACAAAAGCAUGUUGUGCCUAACAUCAACUGUGCUUCGGUAACUUCAACAAGGUAAGAAUACUCUACCAUGGUUGAGGCUAACCCAUAACAAACCCACCCCAGCAAGUCCUAUACAGACCCAUUCCUUAAUCCUACCUUUCAGGAACCUCAUGAAAAGAAUGAGCCUCUAGACCUAGGAGAGUGUAACGAUGGAGAGGAAAGAAGUCGAGGAACAUCUGAGGCAGAAUAGCUCAGUGGGAUUAUUGUUAGAACCAGGGAAAAAAGCUCUUCACCUAGUCGCUUUCGUCUGGUGGAUAGAGCAAGUACGAUUGACAAUCGAGCUAAGUUGGGGGGACAACCCAACUCAGCUAUACCACUCAAUUCAAAUGGCAUCCCUCAGGUCAGUAAAAGCCGAUCAUUGGAGGAUCCGUAGUAUCAUUACAGAUCUUGCAACUGAAGACCCCCCAUCAUUCCCUUCCAUGGAUUUGCUACGACUACUAUUUUGGAAUUGUUGCGGAGCCGGUAAUAACUCAUUUAAGCGUAAUCUUGUGGAGAUCAUCCAAGCUCACAAACCAGAGAUCAUUGUUCUUAUGGAAACUAAAAUUGCUUAUAGUAAAAUGAGCAACUUCUUCACUAGGCUUGGCACUGCCUCGUCUAUAGUUAAUCCUGUGGAUAGAGUAGGUGGCAUCUGGGUAAUCUGGGAUACCAACCAUGUCAAUGUUCUAGCUUCUAUGGUUAGCCCACAAGCUAUCCACACAACGAUUCAUAAAGAGAAUUAUGAAGAUUGGGUCAUAGCUGCUGUCUAUGCCAGCCCCGACCCAGUACUUUGUAACCAAUUAUGGAAAGAUUUGGAGGAUAAAGCUGAAACCAUGGAUAAGCCUUGGCUGGUUGCUUGGGAUUUUAACGACUAUGCCAGCCUUAAUGAAAUAAGAAGCUUCUCACCAUCACAUAAUAUUGGCAGGACCCAAAAAUUCUUUGAUCGAGUAAACAGCUGCAACCUUAUUGACCUAGGAAGCUCUGGGCCUCGUAUGACUUGCACUAAUAAUAGACAAGGAUUGACCAACACCAUGGAAAGACUCGACAGGGCAGUGUGCAAUGCGGAAUGGAGAACCAUGUUCCCUGAAGCUACUGUUAGAGUCCUCCCUAGGACUUAUUCAGAUCAUUCACCUCUUGUGGUCUACAUCCAAGGGAAGUUCAACGUGACUUAUCCUAAAAUAAUUGAAAACGAAGGAAGGAUAAAUGAGAUAAAUUCUCAGAACGUGGGGGCAUUUCGGUCAAUUAACACCAUCACCAGAACCUAGGAUUUUAUGACGUAAAACCCUAACGACCGCCGUUCGAAGCUUCUUCUUCCAUCCGGAACUCUCACUCCCGUCUCUCUCGCUCCUAUUCUCGGUAGGAUUUCAUAAAAAAAUGAUAAAUAUCAGGUGUUAAGCAGGGAAGCCAUCCUCUAAUAGAGGACCAACUAACCAAGAAGGGGGGAUUGCCUCCAAACAUUGAACUUCCUCCCCGAAAACACAGCUCUGCGCCAGUGCUUUGAGCUUUGCAAAGUUGUUGGCUUUUGAACCAAUCUUGCCAAGAUGCAGAAU